GUCUUUGAUGAUGAUGACUUAUUUUUUCCCCUCGGCAUAUCGAAAUGUGCUGAUAACAGUUUUGAAAGCCAAUUUUGUCUGAAUCAAAGAC